AAAAAGUGAAUGGUAAUUUGCAAGCAAAAGAAAACCAGAUUCACAUUCUAAUAUUUACAUUUGUUCUAUUCACAAGUCAAAAUGUUUCUUUUCAUUAGAUAAUUAAAAAUAAACACUUAAAAAAAACAAAUGCAUUUUACUGCAUCAAUACUGUGGGGAGGUAAUUCUGAAUUUAGGAAUGCUCUCUAGAGCAACAUUAAUUUAACUUUGCGUGGGCCAACCGGCCUAUCACUUAGGUCUUUAAUAGCAGCCAUAGCUUCAUUAUAGUUUAUCAUAGCAACAAUGGCUUCCCCUGUAGGUAACCCUUGCUCAUUAUACUGUAUUGAAACUGAAUCAGGUAUGAUUCUAUAACCAUGGAAAAAGUCUAGAAUUUCGUUAACAUUAGCUUUAAAUGGAAGAUUCAUUAUCUUAAUAGGUGUUAGUCUACCUGAACUACAAUUUAAUUUUGGGUCAGGCAUAAAUCUCCCCUCAGGAAAACUUCCCAUACUGCGCUUUCCAAAAUCAAACUUGCCACCUUCUGGGCGACCAAAAUUCACAAAAGGACGAUGACUUCUAAAGUCAUCGGGUGGACUCCUAAACUCCUCACCAGGAGGUCUAAAACUGUCAGGAAGUCUAGGGUCCUCCUCUGGAGGUUUCCUGAGGUCUUCCUCCGGGAGCCGCCUGAAGUCCUCAUCAGAAGGGCAUCUAAAAUCUUCCUCCUGGGGGCUCCUGAAGUCCUCAUCAGGAGGAUGCCUCAAGUCUUCAUCGGGAGGGCCUCUGAAAUCUUCAUCCGGUGGGUGCCUGAAAUCCUCCUCUCGGGGGCG
rnacentral:lncRNA from 1 species